GUUUGCAUGUGUGUUUACAAUAUUAGUUCAUUUUUUCAUUAAAAAAAACAUAACAUUGAACAACAUAAUUGUUGAUGAAGGAUUAAUCAUCUUAUUUGUAUCUGUGCGGGAAAUAAAAAUACAUAUCUGUAUUGUGAUACGGGACAUUGGCAUAAGGGAAAUCAUUAGCCCCGAAGAUUCUGACAACUCGAAAGAGGUUAUGGUUGAUGAAAGAUUGUUAAAAGAAACAUUCCUGCAAUAAUCUUCGAUCAAAAGCAUUGACAAUCACUGCAAACCCUGUGAGAAGGCUGUGUGUAACUGAGUGAGGCAAUAAUUAGAGAUGCGCAUUCUUUUUGGAUCAAUGCCAGGAAAUCUUCAAGCAUUACACCCUCCAAUAGACUGAAUACUUUGGUCUCCGUAUAAUUCCCAUCAACAGCACAAGAAGAGAUACAAUUGAUGAUUUAUUAAAAUGAAAGGGAUUAUGAAGAUGUUUGAGAGUAGAAUACUGGUGAUAAGAAGGUCUUGAGUCCUGUGCAAAAGGAGUAACGAUUAUACACUGAACCUCAAGGAGACUCAAUUGACAUGGGCAGCUAUCAGAUUGCUAUAUAUCAGUCUCAAUGGAUCUACAACUGUCUCAAGGGACCCGAGGGGUUAAUGAUUCACCGGCACAGCGAUGAGCAUGCCCUACUUGAGGUUCAUCUUGCUCCAGAGAUAAAUGUCCUUGUUUUGUUGGGGACUUUGAUUGAUGAAACCGUGGAUUCCCGAAUCGAGCGGAACCUGAUGGGGAACUCUGCAGGAUUUAAAAAGCGAAGAAGAGCUGAAAGGACAGUAGGAGAAUGGGCCCUACAGUUCUACUACAAAUGGUUAUUGUACUUUCAAAAUGAAUUAUUCGUAUCAGUUUCGAUGAAUUUUCAGUUUUGCUAUCAAUAUAAAAGAAAAGCAGCGAAAACUAUCGACAUUCUGUCCUGACAAUCCAUCAUUGAGGCGCUUUGGAUUCAAGCGCUUGCACGAUACGCUAAAGUAUUAUUGAAAACUCUGGAAUGUGAAAUGUCCUUGUGGAGCAGUCAGGCGUGAGGAAAAUGUUUCUAAUUGUCAUCUAUAUCUGGAGCUAGAUUGCAGAGAGAGAGCAACCGAUCCUGGUCGUACUUGCAAGCUCUACGAUCUGCCUACAUCUUUGAACUUGAGCAGAGAAUACAGAUUAGCUGGAGUCGUCUCAUACGAUGCGACCUAUGAACAUUUCGUGGCCUACUGUUGCCGUCAUACUGGAACGUGGGAGUACCAUG